UACGAAGGGUGCAAGCGUUAAUCGGAAUUACUGGGCGUAAAGCGUGCGCAGGCGGUUAUAUAAGACAGAUGUGAAAUCCCCGGGCUCAACCUGGGAACUGCAUUUGUGACUGUAUAGCUAGAGUACGGCAGAGGGGGAUGGAAUUCCGCGUGUAGCAGUGAAAUGCGUAGAUAUGCGGAGGAACACCGAUGGCGAAGGCAAUCCCCUGGGCCUGUACUGACGCUCAUGCACGAAAGCGUGGGGAGCAAACAGG
rnacentral:rRNA from 1 species